UCAUGAUCUGGCUUUAGAGAUAGAUUACAAUUUAUAACCUUAGUUAAUCCUAAAGUGUUUUUUUAUACAGGAGUAAUGGACCGACCAGUGGCCUGAUCCAACUUUAGUCCCAUCUCAAUCAGGUCAUUUGCUUCAGCCCAACCUAAUGCCCAAUGUGCACUACAAAGAUAUGUCCAUCCAACUUCAUCCAUCUUCUUUUGUUUGCUCAACGGGUGUAGGUUCACUAUGUGACGUUGAUUAUGUAGGAUAUUGGUGUGAUCAACAAUACGGAGUAUUCUUUUUUUUUAUUUGAAAAUAGUAACAAUACCGAGUACUUUGUAAUGUUUGUUUUCACCAAUAAUAAUAAGAAAAAAAAUUGUGUAGAACGGACCUACUGUGAGUCUCUCUACACAAAUACUAGAAACAGGAAGAGGCAAAGAAAAGAAAAAAAAAAACAGAGGAACAACAAUACUACUGCUCCGCCAUUGUUAUCCUUCUCAAGCUCAAACCUCCUUCUACUCCACUUCUUUCUCUCUCCUCCUUUAUAUUGCCACCAGAUUCGGCGUGAAACUCGGAGAAUUUCAUAACCGACUUAGAUUGAAACAUCAUCGUCUUCCGCAGCAACAACCAUGACGUCAUAGGUGGUUAAUACGACAGAGUGUCUCGAUUUUCCAGCGGAUUUGAAGUAUAUCUUUCUGGGUUUAGAAACCACUUUUCAUCGGAAGCCGUCACCGAAGCUCUGCCACAAGGACAGAACAACCCCCGUCUUUGUCCAUCUCAUCCAUCAUCUUCUUCACUUCUUUCGGCGAUGUUUCCGAUCUUAGGGCGAUUGGGAGAAUCCGAGGAUGAAAAAUUAGAAGAAAUGCACUAACAAGAUGAACAACAACAUAAUUUCUUGUUUGCUGCAGGAGAAUUCUCCACUUAAAGCCAUAAAAUAUUAAUAUCAGGCGAAAAAUUUUGGGUGAGACGGACUCACCGUGAGUCCGCUGCCCAAAUACGAUUACCGUGACUCAUCGAAAAUCGGAGUAUAGAAAGAUCGAAGCAUACAGAAGCAGGAUCGAACAAGACGAUCCAGAUGAUGAUGAUGAAGGUGCCGCAAAGAAGACGAUUCAGAUGAUGAUGAUGAAGGUGCCGCCAUUGACAUAGGAAGAUCGAAGCAUAUAGAAGUAGGAUUGAAGAAGACGAUCCAGAUGAUGAUGACGAAGGUGCCGCGAAGAAGACGAUCCAAAUGAUGAUGAUGAAGGUGCCGCCAUUGACAUGAGCAUUGUGAGUGAUUCUUUGGCCAUCGAAAAUUUCGCCAUUGAUGCAGCACCUUCAUCUUGAGGAGAGAGAAAGAGGAGAUGCGUUUAUUGAGGAGAAGGCUAAGGAAAGAGAAAAUCAGAGGAGAAUGUGGGGGAAAUAAGCCCUAAAAAUAUUAAUGUCAAGUAUUAGAUUAUUAUUGUUUGGUAUUAGAUUAUUAUUGUCAGAUAUUAAAAUAUCAUUGUUAGAUAUUAGAAUAUUAUUGUCAGACAUAUUGGACUCACGGUGAGUCCCGUUUCACGCAAAACCUUCUCAUUUUGUAGGUACUAAAAAAGUUCAUUUCAUAAUAUAAUCCAAUUGUGUUC